AUUGAACGCUGGCGGCAUGCUUUACACAUGCAAGUCGAACGGUAACAGGCCGCAAGGUGCUGACGAGUGGCGAACGGGUGAGUAAUGCAUCGGAACGUGCCCAGUCGUGGGGGAUAACGCAGCGAAAGCUGCGCUAAUACCGCGUACGAUCUAUGGAUGAAAGCGGGGGACCGUAAGGCCUCGCGCGAUUGGAGCGGCCGAUGUCAGAUUAGGUAGUUGGUGGGGUAAAGGCUCACCAAGCCAACGAUCUGUAGCUGGUCUGAGAGGACGACCAGCCACACUGGGACUGAGACACGGCCCAGACUCCUACGGGAGGCAGCAGUGGGGAAUUUUGGGCAAUGGGCGCAAGCCUGAUUCAGCAAUGCCGCGUGCAGGAAGAAGGCCUUCGGGUUGUAAACUGCUUUUGUACGGAACGAAACGGUCCUGGUUAAUACCUGGGGCUAAUGACGGUACCGUAAGAAUAAGCACCGGCUAACUACGUGCCAGCCGCCGCAGUAAAAC
rnacentral:rRNA from 1 species